UUCACACUCCAGGAAGAUGCUCCUGAUCCAUCCUGUGGCUCUGAGUAUAUCCUGGCACACCACCACCUAGCCCUGGUGGUAAUUAUACUAACAGCCAACGUUUAUUAAGCACUUAAUAUGUAUUGUCUCUAAUCCUUGCAACAAUCCUUUGAAGUAGGUACAGUUUCCAUCUUCAUUUAUCAUUGGAAAGACUAAAACUCCAAGAAGGUGUCAUCAUGGCCUUGUAGUUGUACAAUAAAAUCUUCCUUUUGAAAACUGCAAACUGAAGCAUUUAAGGCCAGGCCUCAGCAUCUUCCAUCUGUGUGGCAGACUGCAAGAUAUGACCACAAAUUCAUCCUAUCAAAUGCAAACUCCUUUGCAAUGUGACUGUUGCCAUGCCUCCCAUCAAAGGGUAGAGCCUAUUUUUCCCAGUGCUUGAAUCUGUGCUGGCCUUCUGAAUUGCUCUGGCCAAUGAAAAGAAGCAGAAAUAACAUUACAUGACUCCCAAAGCUAGACCUUAAAAGAUCUGGCAGCUUCUACCCCCAUUCUCUUAGAACACCAUCCCGAGGGCACCAUGCAGAGAACAAAUCAAGGAUGAAAGACCACGUUGAAAGAGGUCCAGCUGUGCCAUCCAAGCCAGCCCCCAGCCAACCCACCAAAUGAAUGCAGUUGCAUGAGGGAGCCCAGCCUCUGCAGACCUCUUCGGCUUCAUCUGCAAAUACAGAUGGCAUCCAUGCAGACCUCUUCGGCUUCAUCUGCAAAUACAGAUGGCAUCCACUGGAGGCUCAGCCACUGCUGGGAGGAGCAGUUCUCAGACUCUCUGGACAUCAGAAUUACUUGGGGAACUUCAAAAAUUCCAGUACUCAGGCUUCUCUCCAAGAGACUCAGAUUUAAUUGGUCUGAAAUGGGACCCAGUCAACGUUAUUUUUUAAAAGCUCUCAAGGGGAUGCUAAUGUGUAGUCAGGGCUGAGAAUCAUUGAACUGGAGGAUCUAAAAGUGUAUUUUGAAAUUGCUGAUCUUGCCUUCAAGGAAAUUCAAAAGCUUCAAGGAAAGAUUAAAUUAUGCUCAGUGCCCUUAGAGCAUUAAGUAAGCAAUAUUGUGUUCUAAGUUUUGGGAAACUGGUAAUAGACUAUGAGAACAUUCUUUAAUUAUGUGAAACUAAUUAUCAAUACUUUAUUUCCUCAAAUUCAAAGACACACCCUCUUCAUAUUUUAAUGUUUCUGAGAUCAGGCUCCAUCCUAUCAUUAAGUGUGUACCCUUAAUGUUACCUUGUUUUGCAAAAAACAGUAAGACUUGGGCUAAAGACAUAUCUUAUUGCCCACGGUGAUUAUAAUCAAGGACACCUCUUUCUGGGACACAGGCUUGUGUCAUGUGCAUAGUGCCUCUUUGAUUCCAAUUGAUUCUCCCAUCAACAUCAUGAGGUGGGGCUCUUGAACGUCAUUUUAUUUAUUAUAACUGCUACAGUUGAUUGAGCAUUGACCUUGGGCCAGACACUGUUCUAAGUACUUUGCAAAUACUAUUUCAUUUAAGCCCUGCAGAACCUCGAAUGUGACCAUGUUUUUUAUGCACAGGGAGGCUGAGGCUAUGGUCACACAGCUGGGAGGCUUGGGGAAGGUAGACAAUUGUCCACAAGGAUUCUGAGAAUGCCAUGGGGUUUUUAGGAGAU